AGUGAACGCUGGCGGCAGGCCUAACACAUGCAAGUCGAGCGGCAGCGCGGGGGCAACCCUGGCGGCGAGCGGCGGACGGGUGAGGAAUGCAUCGGAAUCUACCUCGUUGUGGGGGAUAACCUCGGGAAACCGGGACUAAUACCGCAUACGACCUACGGGUGAAAGUGGGGGACCUUCGGGCCUCACGCGAUGAGAUGAGCCGAUGCCGGAUUAGCUAGUUGGCGGGGUAAAGGCCCACCAAGGCGACGAUCUGUAGCUGGUCUGAGAGGAUGAUCAGCCACACUGGAACUGAGACACGGUCCAGACUCCUACGGGAGGCAGCAGUGGGGAAUAUUGGACAAUGGGCGCAAGCCUGAUCCAGCCAUGCCGCGUGUGUGAAGAAGGCCUCGGUUGUAAG
rnacentral:rRNA from 1 species